ACUUCCCAGCUGGGCUAAAGGGUCCUCACAUUUGCAAGUCAAACACCCCCCAUUCAAUUUCUCCCAGCUGAUGACCAAGGAGGUAAGAGGACAGAUGGGCCACCUGCCCUCUAUCUCAUGAGGGGAGGGAGACUCAGGAGGAAAAGGUCAUCUGCUCAGAAACUG
rnacentral:misc_RNA from 1 species